AAACAGCUGAAGAAAAAAACAUAAAAUCUCAACACGAAAUUAAAUUGAAACGUAUCGGGUUUUCGGCUACGGUUUUCUUUUCUUUUUUUUUUUGCUUCGGUUUCCAAUGAUGUCGAUACCGUGGUUGCUAACGAAGAAUCCCUAUUUAAAUUUCAUACGCGAAUGCGAACUGGCAGGCAGCCAUCAAUCUCAAACGGAUAGGGAGCUAAUAUUAGAUGCCGUAGACUUGUGGCAUCGUCUCAAACCCAACGAUAAAUUACUGUUCGAGCAGGAACCCUAUUUAGCCGCUCGUCGUGCUUGUGAUCUUAACACUGAUGGCGCCCUACAAUUAGCCAGCAAAAGCCAAGCAUUAAGGAAUAUCAAAAUGUGGGCAAAACGCUGUGCAGCUUUAAGGAUGAAUGCGUGUCGGGGCAAACCGGCUGGUUCGAGGACUACACGCAAGAGGAUUAAAUCAUUGCCAAGUCGCCGCGUGGCCUCGAAAAGGAAAAAUCUCCUCAAUAGAGUGAAAAAUUCACUUUUUCUUCUUCAUCUGUAAAUCUAAUUUGUUCUUAAAUAUUGCAUAUACAUCUAUAACCCUACCCCCAACCCCCUCUACACACUCGGAUUUCUGAUUAAAAAAUUAACUAGUGUGGUAUUCUUUUAA
rnacentral:sRNA from 1 species